AAACUGGCUUACAAAAAAUGAAGUAAAAUUGUUUAUUCUAAACAAAGAGAUCGGACAAGCCAUACUAUUCCCUUCCCUGCUGCAAGUUUGGAUAGGUAUCAAGUAAAUAGAACUGGAGAAGGAGAACACUUACAAACCUACUCAGAUCCUUUGAGUAGAAGAGAUCAAAAAUCAAUGGCCAACAUCCCCAAGCAAAGAAGUCAUUCUUGCAUCCACAACAUGGAGGAGACUAUUGAUUCAUGCGCUCUGGGAAGGCUAACUGAUUUGUUAAUCCAAGAAGCGAAAUUAUUACACGGGGUGACUGGCGAAGUUGAGGAAAUUCAAACUGAGCUGAGGCGGAUGCAAGGCUUUCUGAAAGUUGCAGAUGCAAGACAAGAUGAAGACAAGGCGGUUAUUAGCAGUUGCAUUGCAGAAAUUAGAGAGGCUGCUUAUGAUGCAGAAGAUGUCAUAGAGACUUUUGCCUUCAGAGUAGCACUGAGGGGGAGAAGCGGUUUCCUAAACAUCCUCAAGAGGUGUGCUUGCAUCUUCUCCGAAUUGAUUGCUCCCCGCAAGGUUGGUACAGAGAUUGAAGCCAUAAAACAAAGAAUAUCUACCACGACUGCAAGGUUAGAAACGUAUGAUAAUGUUAAUAGAACUGAAGGACGAGAAAGAUCAAGUUCCAGAGAUGAGAGGCAACCACGGUUUAAUGAUGAAGAAACAGUUGGGGUUGAGGAUAGUGUGAAGAUUUUGGUGGAACAGCUGGUGAAACCGGACAAGAGAUGCUCAGUUGUGUCGAUAUGGGGCAUGGGGGGUCUGGGAAAGACCACUCUUGCCAGGAAGGUUUAUCAUCAUGUUGAUGUUAGGCGUCACUUUGAUUGUUAUGCUUGGUGUUCCAUAUCUCAACACUGCAACAUCCGAGGUGUUGUGGAAGGAUUAUUGAUCAAAUUGACGUCUUCUAGUGAAGAGCAGAUAAAGAAAAUUGAGAAGAUGAGGGAUGAGGAGCUAUUUAAGAGGGCGUAUGAAAUUCAAAAGGAAAAGAAAUGUCUGGUGAUUCUUGAUGAUGUGUGGAGAAUGGAAGAUUGGGAGUGCCUAAGACCUGCCUUUCCACUGCUGAAGGAGGGCAGCAAAAUACUGCUCACCACUCGGAUCCAAGCGGUGGCUUUACAUGUGGAUCCACAACAUCACUUUUUGUGCCAACCAAAGCUUUUAUCAGCAGAGGAGAGUUGGAAACUUCUUCAGAGGAAAGCAUUUCCCUCAUACAAAGCUAUAGAUCCUAUGAUCAUUAGCAAGGAGAUGGGGAUCUGGGAAAGAAAAUGGCUAAACGUUGUGAUGGGUUGCCCUUGGCAAUUGUUGUGCUUGGAGGAGUUUUGGCCACAAAACCCACAUUUUCUGAGUGGAAAAUGGUUGAUACAAAUAUUAGGUCAUACUUGAGCAGAGGCGAUGAUCAUUCUAAGAAACAAUGUAGUGGAGUUUCACGUGUGCUAGAUUUAAGCUACCAAGAUUUGCCAUACCAUUUAAAACUAUGUUUCAUCUAUUUGGCUCAUUUCCCUGAGGAUCAUGAAAUACCAGUAAAUACUUUGGUUCAAAUGUGGAUGGCUGAAGGAAUCAUAGCAGGACUGCCUGACAAUGAAGAGACAUUGGAGGAUGUUGGACAUCGGUGUCUAGGUGAGCUAAUUGGGAGGUGUGUGGUUCAAGUAGGAGCAACAAGAUCAAAUGGAAUGGUCAAAACUUGCCGCCUCCAUGACCUGAUGCGAGAUUUAGGCUUGUCAAAGGCAAGAGAAAAUUUUUUUGAGACAUUCCAUUGGCAAGUGGAAACCAAUCCAUCUUCUACUUCAAAGAAAGUCCGAAGAGGUGUCAUAUAUUUGGAUCCAGGUGCUAAAACAUCGAGUCCUAUGCAGGUCCCAGAUAAUGCUAGAAACCUUCGAUCUCUUCUAACAUUCUGUUAUGCACCAAAUGCAGUCCACAUGAUGCCAAGGAAGUUGGACUUGAAGGACUUCAAAUUAUUAAGAGUGUUACAUCUUGAGAGACUUUUGUUGGAUGAAAAAUUGGUAAGAGCAAUACGCUACCUCAUUCACUUGAGGUACUUAAGUUUUAAAAAUGCUCGGCUGUCAUGCAUCCGUUCAUCCAUAGGAAAUUUGGGGUCCAUGCAGACGCUGGAUUUACGGUUUGAUAAUCAUGUAACUGGUUUUAAAAUACAUGAUGUGUUAUCAAGGAUGAAGUGGCUAAGACAUCUUUACCUUCCUAGAUUUAUUACGACUGAUGAUAAGGUGCUGUGGGACAGUUUGAGCAACUUGGAGACCCUAAAAAACUUUGAUGCAGAACGUUGGGCUGUACGAGAUUUGGCUACAUUGACCAAGCUUCGGAAAUUGAAAAUGAAGAAUGUCAAAAGCUUUCAAGAGUUGGAGGUGAUCCUCAAAGAUUGCAACGGCCUUCAUUCCUUGAGUUUUGACGAGGCAAUUCAGACCACAAUAGAAGAAACAGAUCUAAAGCAAUUGUCGACAUGCCGACAUCUUUAUAAACUGAAGCUGCCAGGACAAAUAAGCAGCUUGCCUGGACACCAGCACCUCCCCCAAAGCCUCACCAAGUUAGUCUUGAGGACUUCUCGACUAGCACAAGAUCCGAUGCCAAUUCUAGAGAGACUUCCUAACUUGACAGUCCUACACUUAUUGGUUAAUGCGUACGUCGGGGAAGAAAUGGUUUUCUCUACAGAUGGGUUCCCAAAGCUUAAAAAUUUAAUUCUUGGCUUCAUCCACAAUUUAAAGAAGUUGAGGGUGGAAGAAGGUGCAAUGCCUAGUCUUAAGGGUUUAAAAAUUGGAGGCUGCCCUAAUUUGGAAAUGAUCCCUGAAGGGUUGAGGUAUAUCACUACCCUUGACGUAUUGGAGAUUAAAUAUAUGCCCGAACAAUUCGAAGAGAGACUUAAAGUGAUAAAUGGAAAUGAAGGGGAGGAUUUCUACAAAGCUAAGCAUGUGCCUUCCAUCUCAUUCUUUCCAUGAUGAAGCGUUUGGUCCCUCAAGACAAGCGGCAAUCUUCCAAGACAAACUUGCUCAUGGACUCCAUCAAGGGGGUAGAUUAUGAAGAAGUAAUGAUACAUGGGAGUUGCUGUACUUGUGAGUGACAGGCUCAUGUUAUACAUCCUAUUUUAUCAAGCAGAAGAAGUGUGGUACUAGAUGCAAUUUGACUUUCUGUAAUCUCAAGACAAUAUUCCUGUGAUUUUUCUUUUCUUUUUAAUUGGUGUGUUGGGCUUGUUUGUGACUAAUAAAUCCGGGAUUGUGUUUCUAUUGGUCCUCAUUGUGCCUUUUUGUUAUCGUCUGUAUGUUGUGUAAAGAAAAUUGGAUAUUUCAAUAAUAUUUCCCCUUGUUUCUUUGUUCUUUAAACA